GGCUCAGGAUGAACGCUAGCUACAGGCUUAACACAUGCAAGUCGAGGGGCAGCAUGAACUUAGCUUGCUAAGUUUGAUGGCGACCGGCGCACGGGUGAGUAACACGUAUCCAACCUGCCGAUGACUCGGGGAUAGCCUUUCGAAAGAAAGAUUAAUACCCGAUGGCAUAGUUCUUCCGCAUGGUAGAACUAUUAAAGAAUUUCGGUCAUCGAUGGGGAUGCGUUCCAUUAGGUUGUUGGCGGGGUAACGGCCCACCAAGCCUUCGAUGGAUAGGGGUUCUGAGAGGAAGGUCCCCCACAUUGGAACUGAGACACGGUCCAAACUCCUACGGGAGGCAGCAGUGAGGAAUAUUGGUCAAUGGACGAGAGUCUGAACCAGCCAAGUAGCGUGAAGGAUGACUGCCCUAUGGGUUGUAAACUUCUUUUAUACGGGAAUAAAGUGAGGCACGUGUGCCUUUUUGUAUGUACCGUAUGAAUAAGGAUCGGCUAACUCCGUGCCAGCAGCCGCGGUAAUACGGAGGAUCCGAGCGUUGUCCGGAUUUAUUGGGUUUAAAGGGAGCGUAGGCGGACGCUUAAGUCAGUUGUGAAAGUUUGCGGCUCAACCGUAAAAUUGCAGUUGAUACUGGGUGUCUUGAGUACAGUAGAGGCAGGCGGAAUUCGUGGUGUAGCGGUGAAAUGCUUAGAUAUCACGAAGAACUCCGAUUGCGAAGGCAGCUUGCUGGACUGUAACUGACGCUGAUGCUCGAAAGUGUGGGUAUCAAACAGGAUUAGAUACCCUGGUGGUCCACACAGUAAACGAUGAAUACUCGCUGUUUGCGAUAUACAGUAAGCGGCCAAGCGAAAGCGUUAAGUAUUCCACCUGGGGAGUACGCCGGCAACGGUGAAACUCAAAGGAAUUGACGGGGGCCCGCACAAGCGGAGGAACAUGUGGUUUAAUUCGAUGAUACGCGAGGAACCUUACCCGGGCUUGAAUUGCAACUGAAUGAUGUGGAGACAUGUCAGCCGCAAGGCAGUUGUGAAGGUGCUGCAUGGUUGUCGUCAGCUCGUGCCGUGAGGUGUCGGCUUAAGUGCCAUAACGAGCGCAACCCUUAUCGAUAGUUACCAUCAGGUUAUGCUGGGGACUCUGUCGAGACUGCCGUCGUAAGAUGUGAGGAAGGUGGGGAUGACGUCAAAUCAGCACGGCCCUUACGUCCGGGGCUACACACGUGUUACAAUGGGGGGUACAGAAGGCAGCUACACGGCGACGUGAUGCUAAUCCCGAAAGCCUCUCUCAGUUCGGAUUGGAGUCUGCAACCCGACUCCAUGAAGCUGGAUUCGCUAGUAAUCGCGCAUCAGCCACGGCGCGGUGAAUACGUUCCCGGGCCUUGUACACACCGCCCGUCAAGCCAUGAAAGCCGGGGGUACCUGAAGUGCGUAACCGCAAGGAGCGCCCUAGGGUAAAACUGGUGA
rnacentral:rRNA from 1 species